UACGUAGGGGGCAAGCGUUGUCCGGAAUCAUUGGGCGUAAAGAGCGUGUAGGCGGUCCGAUAAGUCCGCUCUGAAAGUCCGGGGCUCAACCCCGGGAGGCGGGCGGAUACUGUCGGGCUAGAGUCCGGAAGAGGCAAGUGGAAUUCCUGGUGUAGCGGUGAAAUGCGCAGAUAUCAGGAGGAACACCGAUGGCGAAGGCAGCUUGCUGGGCCACUACUGACGCUGAGAAGCGAAAGCGUGGGGAGCGAACAGG
rnacentral:rRNA from 1 species